UACAGAGGGCUUUAAUAUUGUACCACUUAAAUAGGUGUUAAGGGAGCUAAGAGGGAAUAUUUAUAAUUCUAGAGUCACCCACUCAAAGGCAAGAGAAUGAUGAGAUUAGCGAUAGAAUGCUCACUCUCAUAAGACUACCAAGGGCGAAGGCACUUGCCUAGGGGCUGACUGACCUUUAUAGGCUCGAAGGCCAGGAUCGCGAACUGG
rnacentral:rRNA from 1 species